rnacentral:lncRNA from 1 species
UUUCGCUCUUGCCUGCUACCAUGUAAGAGGAACCUUUCACCUUUCACCAUGAUUGUGAGGCCUCCCCAGCCACGUGGAACUUAAACAACUCAGCUAUCAAAGGCACAUUUGGGAGUUGGAAUACGAUUCACCUCUACCAAGACACAGAUGAAAAGAGUGGGCUUCCCAAGUUAAGGAAGCUGUCCUCCUCUCGAACUUGCCUGAUAAGGUAUUGUUAUGCUGUCCAGCACAGGCUGGUGUCUAACUCCUGGAUUAAAGCCAUCCUCCCUCCUCAGCUUCUCGAGUAUCUGGGACUACAGCACUUCCACAUCUUUCUGCUUUAACGUUCAGCACAAGCUAUAAUCAAUAUGUAUCUAUAUAAAGUCAAUACAUAUCCCUGGCUACGAUGUGAGCUUUUAAGAAAUGGGACUAUGUUCAGGAGAUCAAGACCAUCCUGGCUAACACGGUGAAACCCCAUCUCUACUAAAAGUACAAAAAGAAUUAGCCGGGCAUGAUGGCGGGCACCUGUAGUCCCAGCUACUCGGGAGACUGAGGUAGGAGAAUGGUGUGAACCUGGGAGGCGGAGCUUGCAGUGAGCGGAGAUCACGCCACUGCACUCCAGCCUGGGCAACACAGCGAGACUCCAUCAUCUCAAAAAAAAAAGAAAUGGGACUAUGUUUUUUUCAUCUCUGUAUUCACAGAGCUUAGCAUAAUGUCUAUAAUAUAGCUAUUUAUUAAAUAUCUCAUAUUUAUUGAAUAUUUGCUAAAUGAAUAAGUCAAUCAACCAUGCUAACCAUAAUCACAAUAAGUAAUUUUCACUGUUUGCUUAUUUUCACCAUUCAUUUUAUGAGCGCCAUCUAGAUCUGUGUGCUAUGUAGAUCUGUAUAGGAAAAAUAUGCGUCAGUGAUGGAGAUGCUUCCAGCAUAAAUAUACCAAGAAUUAUUAUAAAAUAUUCUGUUAUUUUUAAUAUCAAAAAUUAAAUUUCCAUGUAAAAGCAUUCCAACACUACAAUAUUAAAAAGAUAUACUGCAUGAAAUUAUAUGAGCACUAAUUUAGGGAAUAUUAUGAGAACACUUAAGAAGCUCAUGAGACCAACAGUGCAAAACUUAUCACUUGAUCAUCAGGAAAUAUGCAUUAAAACUGAUUCAAAUACCCCCAGAUCUAUCAUUAUAUUCAAAAAUUUCACUUUAAGACCUGUUUUCUGAUGCCAGAAAAAUGAAAAUAAAAUUAUACUAUAAGAAUAGAAAGACAAUGCAAUAUGAGUUGGCAAAAGUUUUAUUCCAAAGACUAAAAUAUACUUCCUGGAAAUAAUUCUCACUGAGGAAGACACCCAUCAAAGAAUAAACAUCUAAAAUGUGCCUAUUUACCAUUUUACCCCUAAUAAGACAAUGUUCUUUGCUAAUCUUCACAUUAUCCCACCCGUUCAUAUUUGUAUACACUUUGAAAAUCUAUCUAUGAUGCUAUUAGCUGUGUACUUCAAAACUUAUUUCUGGUAGUCAGAUAUCAGAACAUAUAGUCAGUAAAUUGCCUGCACAAAUCAAAAUGCUUUGCAGUAGCUCUGAACAUCCAAGUUCCUAGAGCACAAUCACUUCCUGAAAUGUCUAUCACCAUCAUCAUCCUCAUCAGCAUCUCAAUUAUCUUUUCAGAAAAAAAAAUGCAUUGAAUUCCAUUAAAUAUGUAUGACUAGAAUUUGCACAAGAAUACAUGGAGAUUAGUUAGUUAUAUGUUGCAUUUUCUCCUUAGGAGUAUGUACUCUAAUUGCAUAGAAAAGUUAGACCAAUAUGUUACCAACUGAUACAUAAAUGAAUGAAGUAGAAAAUAAAUGUGGGCACAAUGUAAAUAUGACAAAUUCAUAUUACAAUCCGUACAUGAUUGUAUAAAACUUUAAGACUAGGCGUGGUGGCUGACACCUGGAAUCCCAACAUUUUGGGAGACCAAGGCAGGAGGACUGCUUGAGUCCAGGAGUUCAAGACCAGCCUGGGCAACAGUGAGACCUCAAUCUUUACAAAAAUAAAAAUUAUCCAGGUAAGGUGGACCUUACCUAUAGUCCCAGCUACUUGGAAUUGCUAGAGCCCAGGAGAUCAAGGCUGCAGUGGGCUAUGAUUUCACCACUGCACUCCAGACUGGGUGACAAAGCGAGAACGAGACCUUUCUCUCUUUCUCUCCAUAGGUGUGUAAACUAAAUAUAUAUAUUUAGUUUCCAAAUAUUAGAAACAAUAGGACCAAAGAGGUAGGGAAGACACAGACAUCAAAAAAACAGUGACACAUAUUAGGAAAUGAAAUUCUCACAAUUAUUCAUAAAUAUCCAACAUACAGAAACCUAAAAAAUGUUUUCAUAGGCUGGGUUAGAUUAUGAUACAGUAACAAUUUAACCUCCAAAUCUUAAUGCACUAAAUUAGCAACAGUGUAUUUCUCAUUCAUUCUACAUAUCCAUUUGGAUUAAGGGAUUGGGGUGGAGGGGAGAAACUGUGCCACAUCUCUUCACUCCAGGAACAAUGCUAACAGAACCUCCACGUCGGGAACUAGUCGCCACAGCAAAGGAAAAGAGGUUCUGACCCAAUUGUACAGGAGCUCUUAAAGCUUCCUCCCAGAUGUGACAUAUAUAUCUUCUUUUCAUGAUUCAUUGACCAGAGCAAGUUACAUGGCUAUGCUUAAUGUAUAGAGAAUGGGAAAUGCCAAACUACCUUGUGUACUGCAUGAAUGAAUAAAUAAUCACACAUUCUCUAAUAUCAAAAUGUCUGGAAAGUUUAAGUAAUUGGCAUAUACAUUAAGUAAAGUGUAUGUAAUAUAUCUUUGUGAUUUUUUUUCUUUCCAGAUAUAUUCGGCACCUUAAGAAUAUUGGCAGAAACACAACAGUCUUAAUGCAGCUUUCCAGGAAUGCUCCAUUUUUCUCUCUUCUCUCUUCCUCUAAGGCAGCUCUAUACAAGUUUAGCAAAAUUAAAUAUAUGUGGAAGUGUUAGUGGAUUCCUUCAAAGUAAUUAGUGGGUUUUGCUUCAUGAGGAGCAGGAAAAGUGAAAGUGUCAUGUAUCAAUUCCAUUGCUCCUGAGUUUAUUUCCUUGAGCUAAACCAAAAUGAAACAAGUGGACAUGGUAAACAGACUACAAAAAAAAAAAAAAAAAAAAAGAAAAACUGUCUAAAAGUUGACUUUGUUCUGAAUUCCUUUAUAAUUGCCUCAGUGUUUUUAUAUAGUUUAAAUACAACAGACACAGUUUAAAAUAGUGCAUUUCAUUUAUUUUCACCAUCUCCCACCUGUUCGUGAAUGGCACUGGGUAAGAAUAAAGAUGGCUAAACUAAGCAUGGAGAUGGGGAAAAGAUAAUGCUUAUGCAAAUGUCUGAAAAAACUUACAUUAUUUUCUGAACAUAGAAGAGGAGGCUUAAGUACUAAAAAUACAUACAACUGCUCCCUUACAUAUUACUAUAGCUGCUUUUAUAAAACUUUGAAGAAUUUGCCUAUCUCAGUUUAUCUUUUCUCAAAACUUCAGAAUCAAAAUCUUUACAUUAUUCCAGAAAUAAAGG